rnacentral:rRNA from 1 species
UAGAGCUAGGAUCUUGGUCCAGAGUCAGAUUGAUCGCUAGCGGGAUGCCUUACACAUGCAAGUUGAGCGCCAGCAUGGAAGUUGGUCGGGUGGCGAGUGGCGAACGGGUGAGGAAUAUAUCGGAAUUUGCUCUGUAGCGGGGGAUAACGACGGGAAAGUGUAGCUAAUACCGCAUACGCCCUACGGGUGAAAGCAGGGGAUCGUAAGACCUUGCGCGAUUGGAGGGGCCGAUAUCGGAUUAGCUAGUUGGUGGGGUAAUGGCUCACCAAGGCGACGAUCCGUAGCUGGUUUGAGAGGAUGAUCAGCCACACUGGGACUGAGACACGGCCCAGACUCCUACGGGAGGCAGCAGUGGGGAAUUUUGGACAAUGGGGGCAAGCCUGAUCCAGCCAUACCGCGUGUGUGAUGAAGGCCUUCGGGUUGUAAAGCCCUUUUGCUGGAAAGAAACCUAAUUGGUUAAUACCCGGUGAAAAUGACGGUACCUGCAGAAUAAGCACCG